UUCUUCGGGGCGGGGUGCAAGUCCCCACUGGCGGUAAAGUCCGCGACCCGCGCAAAGCGGCUGACCCGGUGCGAUUCCGGGACCAACAGUAUAGUCUGGAUGAAAGAAGAA
rnacentral:ncRNA from 1 species